rnacentral:rRNA from 1 species
CACUCCUACGGGAGGCAGCAGUGGGGAAUUUUGGACCAUGGGCGAAAGCCUGAUCCAGCAAUGCCGCGUGAGUGAAGAAGGCCUUCGGGUUGUAAAGCUCUUUUGUCAGGGAAGAAACGGUGAGAGCUAAUAUCUCUUGCUAAUGACGGUACCUGAAGAAUAAGCACCGGCUAACUACGUGCCAGCAGCCGCGGUAAUACGUAGGGUGCAAGCGUUAAUCGGAAUUACUGGGCGUAAAGCGUGCGCAGGCGGUUUUGUAAGUCUGAUGUGAAAUCCCCGGGCUCAACCUGGGAAUUGCAUUGGAGACUGCAAGGCUAGAAUCUGGCAGAGGGGGGUAGAAUUCCACGUGUAGCAGUGAAAUGCGUAGAUAUGUGGAGGAACACCGAUGGCGAAGGCAGCCCCCUGGGUCAAGAUUGACGCUCAUGCACGAAAGCGUGGGGAGCAAACAGGAUUAGAUACCCCGGUAGUCCA